rnacentral:rRNA from 1 species
CUACGGGACGCAGCAGUGAGGAAUUUUGCGCAAUGGGGGCAACCCUGACGCAGCAACGCCGCGUGAGUGAAGAAGGCCUUUGGGUCGUAAAGCUCUGUCAACAGGGAAGAAGUUACUUCAUAUUAAUAGUAUGUAGUAUUGACGGUACCUGUGGAGGAAGCAUCGGCUAACUCCGUGCCAGCAGCCGCGGUAAUACGGGGGAUGCAAGCGUUAUUCGGAAUCAUUGGGCGUAAAGGGCACGCAGGCGGCUCUGUCAGUCAGAUGUGAAAGCCCGGGGCUCAACCCCGGACGUGCAUUUGAAACAGCAGAGCUUGAGUACGGUAGAGGAAAGCGGAAUUCCUGGUGUAGAGGUGAAAUUCGUAGAUAUCAGGAGGAACACCGGUGGCGAAGGCGGCUUUCUGUACCGAAACUGACGCUGAGGUGCGAAGGCGUGGGUAGCGAACAGGAUUAGAUACCCCGGUAGUC